rnacentral:rRNA from 1 species
UGGGGAAUAUUGCACAAUGGGCGCAAGCCUGAUGCAGCCAUGCCGCGUGUGUGAAGAAGGCCUUCGGGUUGUAAAGCACUUUCAGCGGGGAGGAAGGCGAUAAGGUUAAUAACCUUGUCGAUUGACGUUACCCGCAGAAGAAGCACCGGCUAACUCCGUGCCAGCAGCCGCGGUAAUACGGAGGGUGCAAGCGUUAAACGGAAUUACUGGGCGUAAAGCGCACGCAGGCGGCCUGUCAAGUCGGAUGUGAAAUCCCCGGGCUCAACCUGGGAACUGCAUUCGAAACUGGCAGGCUGGAGUCUUGUAGAGGGGUGUAGAAUUCCAGGUGUAGCGGUGAAAUGCGUAGCGAUCUGGAGGAAUACCGGUGGCGAAGGCGGCCCCCUGGACAAAGACUGACGCUCAGGUGCGAAAGCGUGGGGAGCAAACAGG